AGAGUUUGAUCCUGGCUCAGAUUGAACGCUGGCGACGUGCUUAACACAUGCAAGUCGUGCGAGAAAGUAGGCUUCGGUCUAUGAGUAGAGCGGCGCACGGGUGAGUAACGCGUGGAUGAUCUACCCUUGAGUUCGGGAUAACGGUGCGAAAGCGCCGCUAAUACCGUAUAACAAUCCAUUUCAUCGUGGGUUCAAAGCAGGCCUCUUCGUGAAAGCUUGCGCUUGGGGAUGAGUCCGCGUCCCAUUAGCUUGUUGGCGGGGUAACGGCCCACCAAGGCUACGAUGGGUAGCUGGUCUGAGAGGAUGAUCAGCCACACUGGAACUGAAACACGGUCCA
rnacentral:rRNA from 1 species